rnacentral:rRNA from 1 species
AUUGAACGCUGGCGGAAUGCUUUACACAUGCAAGUCGAACGGCAGCACGGGCAACCUGGUGGCGAGUGGCGAACGGGUGAGUAAUACAUCGGAACGUGCCCAAUCGUGGGGAUAACGUAGCGAAAGUUACGCUAAUACCGCAUACGAUCUACGGAUGAAAGCGGGGGAUCGCAAGACCUCGCGCGAGUGGAGCGGCCGAUGUCAGAUUAGGUAGUUGGUGGGGUAAAGGCUCACCAAGCCAACGAUCUGUAGCUGGUCUGAGAGGACGACCAGCCACACUGGAACUGAGACGCGGUCCAGACUCCUA